UGGGGAAUAUUGGACAAUGGGCGAAAGCCUGAUCCAGCCAUGCCGCGUGUGUGAAGAAGGCCUUUUGGUUGUAAAGCACUUUAAGUGGGGAGGAAAAGCUUAUGGUUAAUACCCAUAAGCCCUGACGUUACCCACAGAAUAAGCACCGGCUAACUCUGUGCCAGCAGCCGCGGUAAUACAGAGGGUGCAAGCGUUAAUCGGAAUUACUGGGCGUAAAGCGCGCGUAGGUGGUUAUUUAAGUCAGAUGUGAAAGCCCCGGGCUUAACCUGGGAACUGCAUCUGAUACUGGAUAACUAGAGUAGGUGAGAGGGGAGUAGAAUUCCAGGCGUAGCGGUGAAAUGCGUAGAGAUCUGGAGGAAUACCGAUGGCGAAGGCAGCUCCCUGGCAUCAUACUGACACUGAGGUGCGAAAGCGUGGGUAGCAAACAGGAUUAGAUACCCUGGUAGUCCACGCCGUAAACGAUGUCUACCAGUCGUUGGGUCUUUUAAAGACUUAGUGACGCAGUUAACGCAAUAAGUAGACCGCCUGGGGAGUACGGCCGCAAGGUUA
rnacentral:rRNA from 1 species